rnacentral:rRNA from 1 species
GAAGCUAGUACAGUGGCGGACGGGUGAGUAACGCGUGAUNAUCUACCCUCGGGAGGGGGAUAGGAGGCGAGCGGAUGGGUAAUCCCCCAUGAGACCACGGCAUCGCAUGGUGCAGUGGUCAAAGAGUUGGGCUCUUCGGACCUUCUGCCCGAGGAUGGGAUCGCGUCCUAUUAGCUUGUUGGUGGGGUAACGGCCUACCAAGGCGAUGAUGGGUAGCCGGCCUGAGAGGGUGGUCGGCCACACUGGGACUGAGAGACGGCCCAGACUCCUACGGGAGGCAGCAGUGCUGAAUCAUUCGCCAAUGCGCGAAAGCGUGACGGUGCGACGCCGCGUGCGGGAUGAAGGCUUUCGGGUUGUAAACCGCUGUCAGGGUUUAGGACGCCGCCGACGUGAAUAGCGGCGGCGUUGACCAGGCCCAAAGGAAGCGCAGGCUAACCUCGUGCCAGCAGCCGCGGUAAGACGAGGUGCGCGAGCGUUGUUCGGAAUCACUGGGCAUAAAGCGUGCGUAGGCGGUCUGGUAAGUCGGAUGUGAAAUCCCCCGGCUCAACCGGGGAAUUGCACUCGAUACUGCCAGGCUUGAGAGCGAAAGGGGCAAG